UAGGGAAUAUUGGACAAUGGGUGAGAGCCUGAUCCAGCCAUGCCGCGUGCAGGAAGAAGGCGUUAUGCGUUGUAAACUGCUUUUUGCCAGGGGAUAAAAAGACUCUGCGGAGUUUAUUGAAGGUACCUGGUGAAUAAGCCACGGCUAACUACGUGCCAGCAGCCGCGGUAAUACGUAGGUGGCAAGCGUUGUCCGGAUUUAUUGGGUUUAAAGGGUGCGUAGGCGGCCCUGUAAGUCAGUGCUGAAAUAUCCCGGCUUAACCGGGAGGGUGGCAUUGAUACUGCAGGGCUUGAGUACAGAUGAAGUAGGCGGAAUUGACGGUGUAGCGGUGAAAUGCAUAGAUAUCGUCAAGAACACCGAUAGCGAAGGCAGCUUACUAAGCUGUAACUGACGCUGAGGCACGAAAGUGUGGGGAUCAAACAGGAUUAGAUACCCUCGUAGUGAGCGGGCUGGCAAGGCGCAU
rnacentral:rRNA from 1 species